rnacentral:lncRNA from 1 species
UAUUUUUACAUUUUCUUCUGAAACUAUGGAUGCCUGACUGUACUAUUCCAGCCAAGGUUUGUCUACUGCUGUGUAUGGAGGCUUCAGACAUACCUGUGUUAACUCAUGCCAGAUGCUAAUGCUUCUGCCUUUCUGCAUCUCCUUAGAAAUUUGCUAAAAAUGCAUACCAGUUCUCAUCACCAUAGUGGGAGUUGGAGGUUCAAACACCAGUUAAAUCCAUUUGUUAAUCCAAAUCCAAAGUUAAAUCCAAACACUUUGUUAAAUCCAUUAAUUUAUUUUCCUGUCUCAUUCCUGACCCUAACAUCACCUGCGUGGAUGAGGAUGAAGCAGUUAAGCCCUUUCCCCCUGUUAUGUCAGGAUCGACCCCGCUGCAGUGGGAAGGACGCUGGUGUCUGUGCCCAGGGGCAGUCAGAGAACACAGUACUUUGCCGUUCCCAUAAGGAUGCUCCUAGAUGGGAGCAGAAGACCAGUUCCUCAUUGUCCUUGUGGCAGCUGUAGAUGCUUCGGGAAAGAGCACAAUAACAGGACAUAUUUGGAGGGAUCCUUUCCCAGGUCAUAACGUCAGACCAUUCAGAGCUCAGCAGGACAGAUAAGAACUCAGAUGAAGUUUCCAUACACCACCACACAACGGGGAGACAAGCUUAGUCAUGAGCAUUCUUCUAGUGUUUCUCUCUUCCUUCCAUACACCCAGAAAAAUAGAUAUUUUCUCUCAAAAUUGCUAAGGAAUGUAUUAUCUAGUAGCUCACCAUGGUCCUACAGCCUUGAACAUGUGCCUGUCUGCUCCAAUCUCUGCAUAUGGCAAUUACCCAGCGUCUGCUCAUAUUAUCUUAAGUCAAGGGAAGCCUUCACUGAAGACAGUAAGUGCUCACUGAAGACAUUAACUGCUGCUAUCUGCUUUAGGCACCCAGAUUCCCAAAAGUAAUGUUGCUGUGUGUUGUCUGGGCUUGAGCUCCCUUGAGGAUGCUAUUGAACCUCCACUGGGCUUUUGUCAGAAAAUAGCUACUUACCCUCUGAACUGUAAACCUCCCCCCGCCCCCGGAAGGCAAUGAAGGAACUGCAAAGUGGGAUUGAUCUGUUUGUUGACAUUAAAUAAUAGUAAAAUUUUGAACUGAGGCUAAUUAUGGCAAUUUUUGUGCAGGAAAGGUGCGGGUUGUGUUCACCAGGUCUAGUGGUUUUAUUUGGACACACCGCAGCGCUGCAACAUGCUAACGUUUCAUUGCCAAGCAGCCAGUAAAAAAAAAAAAAAAAAAAAAAAAAAGCUGAUAAUUUACAACUGGUCUCUAUGGAAAGAUGAUGGAAAACGUGAAUUAAGGACAACUGAUCCAUUGUAAGAAUGAUUUAGGAGUAACUGGAACUUGCUUUGGCCACGAGAUUAGCUGUGUGAGCACUGUCUUGUCUACCAGAUUAAUGCUUUAAAAGUAUAUGAAUGAAAUCAUAAAUAAAAUCAGCAU